GCCUGCGUAGCUCAACCGGUAGAGCAACGGUAUCGUAAACCGUAGGUAGUCGGUUCGAGUCCGACCGCAGGCU
rnacentral:tRNA from 9 species